GUGGGCCGGUGAUCCAUUGGAUAGUCGUGUGGAACCGAGCAACCUUGUUAUAGUAUUGCGCGGCAAACACCCAAGUAAAGCCGCCUUAUAUAAUUUGUAUAUUUCGUAAGUUCGGUAGCAAAUGUAGAUUUUAGUAUUAAUAUAAAGUUUUAUUUAGGUAUAUUUUGGACCGACACGUGAAGCAUUUUCUCUAUUAACAUUCUCGGACGUUUCAAUUAUUACUAUUAUUAUUAUUACUACUAAAAAUAUGUUUAGAUGAUAGUUUAUUAACGUACGUCACGUAAUUUUUAAAAUUAUUUUUUUAAAUUAUUAAAUUGUUAAUUUCGUAUAAUUUAAAUAAAUUUUUUUUUAUAUUUACAUUUAUACCCUCAUUUUUUUUUCUUUGAAAUGCAAUGCC
rnacentral:lncRNA from 1 species